ACUCCUACGGGAGGCAGCAGUGGGGAAUUUUCCGCAAUGGGCGAAAGCCUGACGGAGCAAUACCGCGUGAGGGAGGAAGGCUCUUGGGUUGUAAACCUCUUUUCUCAGGGAAGAAAAAAAUGACGGUACCUGAGGAAUAAGCAUCGGCUAACUCCGUGCCAGCAGCCGCGGUAAUACGGAGGAUGCAAGCGUUAUCCGGAAUUAUUGGGCGUAAAGCGUCCGCAGGUGGCAGUUCAAGUCUGCUGUCAAAGGUCAGGGCUCAACCCUGAACAGGCAGUGGAAACUGAACAGCUAGAGUGCGGUAGGGGCAGAGGGAAUUCCCAGUGUAGCGGUGAAAUGCGUAGAGAUUGGGAAGAACACCGGUGGCGAAAGCGCUCUGCUAGGCCUGCACUGACACUCAGGGACGAAAGCUAGGGGAGCGAAUGGGAUUAGAUACCCUUGUAGUCCC
rnacentral:rRNA from 1 species